rnacentral:rRNA from 1 species
GGGGAAGUGAAACAUCUCAGUACCCACAGGAAGAGAAAACAACAGUGAUUCCGUCAGUAGUGGCGAGCGAACGCGGAAGAGGCCAAACCGAUGGUGUGUGAUACCCGGCAGGGGUUGCAUCAUCGGGGUCGUGGGGCGUGUCGUCCCGGGUCUGCCGGCCCGGGCGUGUGAGUGCAGGGCGAUAGUCGAACCGGUGUGAGUGCCGGACCGGAGAGGGUGAGAGUCCCGUAGACGAAAUCGUUGCUGCCGCACGGUACGCGUACCCAAGUAGCACGGGGCCCGAGAAAUCCCGUGUGAAUCUGCCAGGACCACCUGGUAAGCCUAAAUACUACCUGAUGACCGAUAGCGGACCAGUACCGUGAGGGAAAGGUGAAAAGUACCCCGGGAGGGGAGUGAAAUAGUACCUGAAACCGUGUGCCUACAAACCGUCGGAGCCCUACAAGGUGACGGCGUGCCUUUUGAAGAAUGAGCCUGCGAGUUAGUGUUACGUCGCGAGGUUAACCCGUGAGGGGUAUCCGUAGCGAAAGCGAGUCUGAACAGGGCGAGUGAGUGGCGUGAUCUAGACCCGAAGCGAAGUGAUCU